UGGCUUCCUUGCCACAAUUGAUUAGUUGGCAAGGUGUUGAACUGCUCAUAAAUUAAAUGCAUUUGCAGUUCACAGUUGCCGAGAUUCUCUUCUGAAGCUGGUCCAGUAAGCUAUUGCACAUU